AUGAACGCUGGCGGCGUGCCUAAUACCUGCAAGUCGAGCGCACAGAUGAGGAGCUUGCUCCUCUGACGUUAGCGGCGGACGGGUGAGUAACACGUGGAUAACCUACCUAUAAGACUGGGAUAACUUCGGGAAACCGGAGCUAAUACCGGAUAAUAUAUUGAACCGCAUGGUUCAAUAGUGAAAGACGGUUUUGCUGUCACUUAUAGAUGGAUCCGCGCCGCAUUAGCUAGUUGGUAAGGUAACGGCUUACCAAGGCGACGAUGCGUAGCCGACCUGAGAGGGUGAUCGGCCACACUGGAACUGAGACACGGUCCAGACUCCUACGGGAGGCAGCAGUAGGGAAUCUUCCGCAAUGGGCGAAAGCCUGACGGAGCAACGCCGCGUGAGUGAUGAAGGUCUUCGGAUCGUAAAACUCUGUUAUUAGGGAAGAACAAAUGUGUAAGUAACUAUGCACGUCUUGACGGUACCUAAUCAGAAAGCCACGGCUAACUACGU
rnacentral:rRNA from 1 species